CUGGACCGCUCCUUUGAGUAGAGAUGCUCCCUUCCAGGAUGCCAACCUAUGUGCCGCAUCUCUAAUGAGGAGAAUAAGGUCCUGACUUUCCUACUAUCUACUUAGGAGAUGCAAGGGGCCUCUAGUCUCUUGGGAAGGACAAGGUCCCAGGGCCAGAUAGAUUCCCCCCUCUCUUUUUCCACCGAUACUGGCCUAUUAUUUGAUGCGG
rnacentral:lncRNA from 1 species